GCCUGGGUGGCUCAGUCGGUUAAGUGUCUGACUUCGGCUCAGGUUGUGAUCUUACAGUUGUGAGUUUGAGCCCCACGUCAGGCU
rnacentral:tRNA from 1 species